UAAUACGUAGGGUGCAAGCGUUAGUCGGAAUUACUGGGCGUAAAGCGUGCGCAGGCGGUUAUUUAAGUCAGGUGUGAAAGCCCCGGGCUCAACCCGGGAAUUGCGCUUGAAACUAGAUAGCUAGAGUUUAGCAGAGGGGGGUGGAAUUCCACGUGUAGCAGUGAAAUGCGUAGAGAUGUGGAGGAACACCGAUGGCGAAGGCAGCCCCCUGGGCUAAAACUGACGCUCAUGCACGAAAGCGUGGGGAGCAAACAGGAUUAGAUACCCUGGUAGUCCACGCCCUAAACGAUGUCAACUAGUUGUCGGGAGAGGUGACUUUCUUGGUAACGUAGCUAACGCGUGAAGUUGACCGCCUGGGGAGUACGGUCGCAAGAUUA
rnacentral:rRNA from 1 species